CACGUAGGGCGCAAGCGUUGUCCGGAAUUAUUGGGCGUAAAGGGCUCGUAGGCGGUCUGUUACGUCUGUUGUGAAAACCCAGGGCUUAACCCUGGGCUUGCAGUGGAUACGGGCAGACUAGAGGCAGGUAGGGGAGAAUGGAAUUCCCGGUGUAGCGGUGGAAUGCGUAGAGAUCGGGAAGAACAUCAGUGGCGAAGGCGGUCUGCUGGGCCGUUGCUGACGCUGAGGCGCGACAGCGUGGGGAGCAAACAGG
rnacentral:rRNA from 1 species